rnacentral:tRNA from 1 species
GCAGGAAUGGCGGAACUGGCAGACGCACUUGAUUUAGGAUCAAGGUAUUGGGGGUUCGACUCCCCCUUCCUGUA